AUUACAAAAAACUACUAUCCUCUAUCGACGAAAAAGGAAUCAUAAGUUUAUCAGACGAACACUAUCAACUAAUAAACACACAAGAUAAAAACUAUUCUAUACUAAUAUUAUUUACUUCAACACAUCCAGACCAUCAAUGUACUUAUUGCAAGUCAGCUGUCGGCGAAUUACAGGUCGCAUUAGAGUCAUUUCGAAAAGAAAACGUAUUUUUCAAUGAAACAUUUUUUGCCAAGGCCGAUUUUGUAAAAGCUCGUCAAUUUUUUGUUUGG